UACGGGGGGGGCAAGCGUUGUUCGGAAUUACUGGGCGUAAAGGGCUCGUAGGCGGCCAACUAAGUCAUACGUGAAAUCCCUCGGCUUAACCGGGGAACUGCGUCUGAUACUGGAUGGCUUGAGUUCGGGAGAGGGAUGCGGAAUUCCAGGUGUAGCGGUGAAAUGCGUAGAUAUCUGGAGGAACACCGGCGGCGAAGGCGGCAUCCUGGACCGACACUGACACUGAGGAGCGAAAGCCAGGGGAGCAAACGGG
rnacentral:rRNA from 1 species